rnacentral:rRNA from 1 species
GACGAACGCUGGUGGCGUGCCUAAUACAUGCAAGUAGAACGCAGUUGCGAACGGGUGAGUAACGCGUAUGUAACUGCCUCAUAGCGGGGGAUAAAUAUUGGAAACGAUAGCUAAUACCGCAUACUGUGAGAUGGACCUGCGUUGUAUUAGCUAGUUGGUUAGGUAAAGGCUCACCAAGGCGACGAUACAUAGCCGACCUGGGAGGGGGGUCGGCCACAAUGGGACUGAGACAAGGCCCAGAAUGCUACGGGAGGCAGCAGUAGGGGAUCUUCGGAAAUGGACGGCAGGCUGAACGAGCAACGCCGCGUGAGUGAAGAAGGUCUUCGGGUCGUUAAGCUCUGUUGGUAGAGAAGCGGUAUCUAACCAGAAAGGGACGGCUAACUACGUGCCAGCAGCCGCGGUAAUAC